GUUUUGUUCUCUCUCCGCAUUCGUCACUAAUCACGUAACGCCAACGUAAUGACCCUGUCAGCCAGAACUGCUUUUGCGUAUGACAGACACCGGAAGUGAGAGAAAAGUGUUUAUUACCUUUGAAAUAUCCAUAAAAUAUGGAUAUUUUUCUUACAAAAAUGCAUGUAUUCACCCCCUGGAGCGGUGUGAGGCACGUUUUAUUAUAAAUGCGCUCGCUUUAUUUGAUGACUUGUGGAAUGUUCAACUGCAACACCUGCUGACUGUAAUGAUAGAGCUUGGAAUAGCCAGGACAAUUUUUUAUAUAACUCCGACUGGAUUCAUCUGAAAGAAGAAAGUCAUAUACACCUAGGAUGCUUCGAUGAACGCGCCAGUCAUCGAGAGUAAAGUCAGAGCAGAUGAAUUGAAAUAGAAGAGGUAGAAAAAGCUUUUGAUUCGGCUCUGAGCUCAGAGUUCGGUUCUCCUGAGGCGUGAAUUAUGAAACACUCAGACCGUUUUAAACAGAAAAGGAGGAGAGGUGAAGACAGUACAGACACAGGAGAAUUACC
ensembl:lncRNA